CAGAGUUUGAUCCUGGCUCAGAGUGAACGCUGGCGGUAGGCCUAACACAUGCAAGUCGAACGGCAGCACAGGAGAGCUUGCUCUCUGGGUGGCGAGUGGCGGACGGGUGAGGAAUACAUCGGAAUCUACUUUUUCGUGGGGGAUAACGUAGGGAAACUUACGCUAAUACCGCAUACGACCUACGGGUGAAAGCAGGGGAUCUUCGGACCUUGCGCGAUUGAAUGAGCCGAUGUCGGAUUAGCUAGUUGGCGGGGUAAAGGCCCACCAAGGCGACGAUCCGUAGCUGGUCUGAGAGGAUGAUCAGCCACACUGGAACUGAGACACGGUCCAGACUCCUACGGGAGGCAGCAGUGGGGAAUAUUGCACAAUGGGCGCAAGCCUGAUGCAGCGACGCCGCGUGAGGGAUGACGGCCUUCGGGUUGUAAACCUCUGUUAGCAGGGAAGAAGAGAGAUUGACGGUACCUGCAGAGAAAGCGCCGGCUAACUACGUGCCAGCAGCCGCGGUAAUACGUAGGGCGCGAGCGUUGUCCGGAAUUAUUGGGCGUAAAGAGCUUGUAGGCGGUUUGUCGCGUCUGCUGUGAAAGGCCGGGGCUUAACUCCGUGUAUUGCAGUGGGUACGGGCAGACUAGAGUGCAGUAGGGGAGACUGGAAUUCCUGGUGUAGCGGUGGAAUGCGCAGAUAUCAGGAGGAACACCGAUGGCGAAGGCAGGUCUCUGGGCUGUAACUGACGCUGAGAAGCGAAAGCAUGGGGAGCGAACAGGAUUAGAUACCCUGGUAGUCCAUGCCGUAAACGUUGGGCACUAGGUGUGGGGAACAUUCCACGUUUUCCGCGCCGUAGCUAACGCAUUAAGUGCCCC
rnacentral:rRNA from 1 species